AAAGAAUAUUUUACGACAACUCAGGCUAAUGUUCCACGCGAGUCGACAGCAGCAGAUAGAUAGUAUGGCUCGCAGUCAAAAUUCCGGCAGUGGAGAGCGGAGGCGCAAGUAAGGCUGAUUUAUCAUCAGCAACUUUAGCUUCCGGAAUGACCAACUCCAAUGCCCUAGCCGCCCUUAUCCUUCUUCCUUUAUCUCUCCUCCUUCACACUUACCUCUCUCUCUCUCUCUCAAUUGCUCACUUCUUUUUUUCAGGGCUGGGUGCGAUUGCGUAAGUUUAUUGAUCCCUUAUUCGCCUUAAUUUGAAUAAACUGAUAAUGCGAUGAAUUUAUGAAGUAAAGAUUGUAUCUUUUAUAGAUUCAGUUCAAGAUUCCAUCCAAUUGGGAGAGAAUGAUGUUGUAUUGAGGCUUUUGGUUUUGCAUAUCUCUGUUUUAAGAUCACAUUGUGUGUUAUUUCUUGAUGUGGAUUGAGAUUCUAGUCUUGGGUUUUAUUCAAUUUUGAUUAAGUUGGAUUUGGGGGAAAAUCUUGAUUUGUGUUUAUUUGUUUUGUUUUAUAAUAACAAUGUAGUUGUUUGGUUCAGCUGACUGGAUACACUGUAAUCAGUUACAAUUCUGCUGAAUUUUCAUCAGCCAUGCUUAAUCUCAUUCCCGGAUUUACCUUCAUGCUUGCUGUCGUUUUCAGGCUCUUGAUUAUGCCAAAUGUCGUGCUUAAAUCGAUCAGUGGCUUCUCUUUCAUGAGAAGGAAAUGACAAUUGCUUAAACUUUGAUUGUGCUGUGUUCCGAAUGUCACUGCUAAACUGUAGGAAUUCAAGUUUUCUUCCAAAAACAUUAGGAACUUUGGUCUUCAUUUAUGGAGCCUUUGUUGCCACUCUCUACAAAUGCCCCGAGAGCCUGACUAAUCUGUUGUCUCCUAAGUUGCAUUAGGAGUAUACUGGUGUAGUAGCAGUCAAGUUGGAUUUUUGGAGGGUUAUUCCUUGCUGCAAACUGUGUCGUUGCUUCAGCCUACAUAAUUGGACAGAUAACUCCACUUAGAGAAAUGAAGAGAAACCAGACAAGUUAGGAAUGUAAUCUUUCAUAUUGAUAUUCCUUUUGCAAGUGUUGUUGAUUCUCUAGAAAUACCUAGCCGAGCUGGUUAUAGUAUUCUUUUACUGCUUCUCUGCUGCCAUUCUGUCCACAUUCGUAUCUGUGAUUUCUGAUUGAGACCUUAGUGUUUGGUCAUUGCAACCUAAUACCCGACUGAUUGUUUUUCUGUAUUUGGUAGGUGAUAGACCAGCUGUUUCAUAUCUAAACUCACAAUUGAUACUGAACUUCUAUUUCAAUGCUAGACAAUGGUUGGAUCAAUACCAGUUUGUUACGUUGAAAACAAUGUUUGGAAAAUCACCUUACCCAUAUUUGGCUGUAUAAUUUGCACAACUUCUCUUCUUCAAAGGGAGUAAAUGGUUCUGCAUUCCAAGUUAGUGUAACUGCAUGGUGCCUGCACAAAAAAGGUCCCCUUUUCGUUGCAAUAUUUCAUCCGUUGGGGAUCAUGAUAUCUGCUGUGCUUGGUAUUAUCUUCUUGAGCUAUAUUCUGUAUCUUGGAAGGUUGGGUGCGUUCACUUAGUUUGAAGUUAUUCAACUAAAAUGACUUAUUGCUAUCACUAAUUAUGUCAUAGCCAAGACUAAAAUUUUUAGUAUGCACAAAAACUAGGAUUCUUUUAUAGUUGUUAGUAUUUGUUUUUUGUUCAUAGAUUUAAAUUUUCUGCAGUUUGUUAGGGUCAAUUAUCAUUGUUAUCGCGUUCUACUCAGUGCUGUGGGGAAAGGCAAAAGAAGUUAAGGUGAUUGAGAACAGCAACAAUGAUUUUCUGCAACCAUUAGUGAGAAUGCUCCUCUGUUGCCAAUUAAGGAUGAGCAGACCGUGUCGUUAGACAGAGCAUGACGCCAUUCACUUGCUAAUAUAAGGAGGAUACAAUAUGGUUAAAAUAUAUGAAGAAGUUUAGAUUCAAAGUUUGGCCUCUGGAAAUUGGAUUUGAAGAUGAAGUUGUUCUUUUAGGCACCACGGAAGCCACAUCCAUUUUCUGGCCUUUCUUGUAGAGGUCAACAGUCCAAUGGUGGAGAGGGUCGACGUCUCUUUGAAGGAGGAGACAUGUUUGACAAGUAUCUUCCUUCCUAUCCUUUCACACACAUGAAGUGUACAUGCCUCAUCAUCCUAUACUAUAUGUUUUUUUCUUGUACAUUGUCAAAUCUCACUCAUUCUUUCUCUUGAUUAUCCGUUGAGACUCGUGCAUGAACUGCAUCCUCUUUUAUACAAUAUGACUAUUUUUGGUGAAUAACUGACCAGUCUUGGCUGCAGGUGGAAGAAGUCAGAAUAGUGAGGCAUUGUCUAAACAUGGGAGGCAUGACCUUCAAAUUCUUAGUUUUGAAUGGAUUCAAAUGUUGUAUAAUAUUCUUAUUUUGUAAAAGACAGCACAGAAACUACAGCUGAAUUUUACACAUGCAUAUGUUAUUACUUUCAAGACUACCUAUGACUGUUAAAAUUAAGCAUUGUUGGUGAUGAGAAGUUUUAUCACUUCAAAUGUGUGUAAUGAUUGGAUUUUCCAUCCUCUGAAAUAUAUGUAUUGUUAUAUAUUACCUGGGGCAA